rnacentral:lncRNA from 1 species
UCUCAUUGUCUUUGCUCUAUUCUAAUUCCGAUGUUCUUUUCUCUGUGUUCCCUUUCUGUAGAGUGGACUCAUUUAAGAAGUGCUGAAAUGGGAAAGACAAGAGAAAAUGAAACUGUUUUAAAGCAGUUUGAAAGAUUUGAAAUAGUCUUUAUGCUACGGGGACCACGUAAAUUGCAGAAAAGCUUUUCAAUUCAAAAUUUUUUUUUUUUUUGGAAAUUGGAAAGUUUUAUAAGAUGCAGCCAAUCAAAUCUCCACAUUUAGAAUUAAAGAGGAAAUCGCCAUCACGCAGCAUUUCUUUUUUUCUAGAAGACUUCUUUAAUGAAGCAGGAAAAAUCUCACUCAGAAGGAAGAGAAGACUUUUGGCUUUCCAAGAACGCUCCUCUCCCUCUGGCGAAACGUUCCUGCCUGCUGCCUCUCCUCUGAAGGUGAAGAGGAAGGUAAUGACAUGGUAUGAAACCUUCAAGUAGACAUUGUAUCUCAUUAUCAAGGCCCAAGAUAAGACAAGGACCUUAACAGAAGAGAACAAGCAUCAAUGCCUAAUGGUAACCCAACUCUUUAACUAAUUAAUUAAUCAAUUAAAUUUACAUCCAGGUUCUGCCCCCUCAUCCCUCCUCUCCUUUUAGUCCCACCCUUACAAAUUCCUACCCCCAUUACUCUCUCCCCUUAUACUCAGAGACGGGAAAGCCCCCCCUUGGGUAUUACACACCCACUAAAUGCAUCCUUUCCCACUUAGGCUCAACCAAGUAGUCUGGUUAAGGGAAGAGGAUUCAACGUCAGCCAACCAGUUCAGGUAAAUUAGCCUUGCAUACAUUAAACACUAUCUUAUAUUUGUUUAAAUUUUUUCACCUAGUCAUCAUUGAACUGUAAGUCCAACUCUAGUUCCUUGGUAGAAGCAAUG